rnacentral:rRNA from 1 species
UACGGGAGGCAGCAGGGGGAAUAUUGCACAAUGGGCGCAAGCCUGAUGCAGCCAUGCCGCGUGUAUGAAGAAGGCCUUCGGGUUGUAAAGUACUUUUCAGUCGUGAGGAAGGUGUUAAGGUUAAUAACCUUAGCAAUUGACGUUAGCGACAGAAGAAGCACCGGCUAACUCCGUGCCAGCAGCCGCGGUAAUACGGAGGGUGCGAGCGUUAAUCGGAAUUACUGGGCGUAAAGGGCACGCAGGCGGUUAAUUAAGUUGGAUGUGAAAUCCCCGGGCUUAACCUGGGAAUGGCAUUCAAGACUGGUUAGCUAGAGUCUUGUAGAGGGGGUAGAAUUCCAUGUGUAGCGGUGAAAUGCGUAGAGAUGUGGAGGAAUACCGGUGGCGAAGGCGGCCCCUGGACAAAGACUGACGCUCAUGUGCGAAAGCGUGGGGAGCAAACAGGGAUUAGAUACC